rnacentral:rRNA from 1 species
GACGAACGCUGGCGGCGUGCCUAAUACAUGCAAGUAGAACGCUGAAGAGAGGAGCUUGCUCUUCUUGGACGAGUUGCGAACGGGUGAGUAACGCGUAGGUAACCUGCCUUGUAGCGGGGGAUAACUAUUGGAAACGAUAGCUAAUACCGCAUAACAAUAGGUGACACAUGUCAUUUAUUUGAAAGGGGCAAUUGCUCCACUACAAGAUGGACCUGCGUUGUAUUAGCUAGUAGGUGAGGUAACGGCUCGCCUAGGCGACGAUACAUAGCCGACCUGAGAGGGUGAUCGGCCACACUGGGACUGAGACACGGCCCAGACUCCUACGGGAGGCAGCAGUAGGGAAUCUUCGGCAAUGGGGGCAACCCUGACCGAGCAACGCCGCGUGAGUGAAGAAGGUUUUCGGAUCGUAAAGCUCUGUUGUAAGUCAAGAACGAGUGUGAGAGUGGAAAGUUCACACUGUGACGGUAGCUUACCAGAAAGGGACGGCUAACUACGUGCCAGCAGCCGCGGUAAUACGUAGGUCCCGAGCGUUGUCCGGAUUUAUUGGGCGUAAAGCGAGCGCAGGCGGUUUGAUAAGUCUGAAGUUAAAGGCUGUGGCUCAACCAUAGUUCGCUUUGGAAACUGUCAAACUUGAGUGCAGAAGGGGAGAGUGGAAUUCCAUGUGUAGCGGUGAAAUGCGUAGAUAUAUGGAGGAACACCGGUGGCGAAAGCGGCUCUCUGGUCUGUAACUGACGCUGAGGCUCGAAAGCGUGGGGAGCGAACAGG